AACGUACGCUGGCGGCAUGUCUAACACAUGCAAGUCGAACGAGAUCUUCGGGUCUAGUGGCGCACGGGUGCGUAAUGCGUGGGAAUCUGCCCUUUGGUUCGGAAUAACAGUUGGAAACGACUGCUCAUACCGGAUGAUGACGAAAGUCCAAAGAUUUAUCGCUAGAGGAUGAGCCCGCGUAGGAUUAGCUAGUUGGUGUGGUAAAGGCGCACCAAGGCGACGAUCCUUAGCUGGUCUGAGAGGAUGAUCAGCCACACUGGGACUGAGACACGGCCCAGACGCCUACGAGAGGCAGCAGCGAGUAAUAUUGGACAAUUGGCGAAAGCCAGAUCCAGCAAUGCCGCGUGAGUGAUGAAGGCCUUAGGGUUGUAAAGCUCUGUUACCCGGGAUGAUAAUGACAGUACCGGGAGAAUAAGCUCCGGCUAACUCCGUGCCAGCCGCCGCGGUAACAC
rnacentral:rRNA from 1 species